CCUACGGGCGGCAGCAGUGAGGAAUAUUGGUCAAUGGACGAGAGUCUGAACCAGCCAAGUAGCGUGAAGGAUGACUGCCCUAUGGGUUGUAAACUUCUUUUAUAAAGGAAUAAAACGAGGCACGUGUGCCUUUUUGCAUGUACUUUAUGAAUAAGGAUCGGCUAACUCCGUGCCAGCAGCCGCGGUAAUACGGAGGAUCCGAGCGUUAUCCGGAUUUAUUGGGUUUAAAGGGAGCGUAGAUGGGUUGUUAAGUCAGUGGUGAAAGUUUGCGGCUCAACCGUAAAAUUGCAAUUGAUACUGGAAGUCUUGAGUACAGUUGAGGUAGGCGGAAUUCGUGGUGUAGCGGUGAAAUGCAUAGAUAUCACGAAGAACCCCGAUUGCGAAGGCAGCUUACUAAGCUGUGACUGACAUUGAUGCACGAAAGUGUGGGUAUCAAACAGGAUUAGAUACCCCAGUAGUC
rnacentral:rRNA from 1 species